GACCGCAUAGCUCAGUUGGCAGAGCAUUGGGCUAGUAUUCCAAAGGUCGUAGGUUCGAUUCCCACCGUGGCCG
rnacentral:tRNA from 1 species